rnacentral:rRNA from 1 species
AUUGAACGCUGGCGGCAGGCCUAACACAUGCAAGUCGAACGGUAACAGGAAGCAGCUUGCUGCUUCGCUGACGAGUGGCGGACGGGUGAGUAAUGUCUGGGAAGCUGCCUGAUGGAGGGGGAUAACUACUGGAAACGGUAGCUAAUACCGCAUAAUGUCGCAAGACCAAAGAGGGGGACCUUCGGGCCUCUUGCCAUCGGAUGUGCCCAGAUGGGAUUAGCUUGUUGGUGGGGUAACGGCUCACCAAGGCGACGAUCCCUAGCUGGUCUGAGAGGAUGACCAGCCACACUGGAACUGAGACACGGUCCAGACUCCUACGGGAGGCAGCAGUGGGGAAUAUUGCACAAUGGGCGCAAGCCUGAUGCAGCCAUGCCGCGUGUACGAAGAAGGCCUUCGGGUUGUAAAGUACUUUCAGCGGGGAGGAAGGGAGUAAAGUUAAUACCUUUGCUCAUUGACGUUACCCGCAGAAGAAGCACCGGCUAACUCCGUG